rnacentral:rRNA from 1 species
UGGGGAAUAUUGCACAAUGGGCGCAAGCCUGAUGCAGCCAUGCCGCGUGUGUGAAGAAGGCCUUCGGGUUGUAAAGCACUUUCAGCGGGGAGGAAGGCGAUAAGGUUAAUAACCUUGUCGAUUGACGUUACCCGCAGAAGAAGCACCGGCUAACUCCGUGCCAGCAGCCGCGGUAAUACGGAGGGUGCAAGCGUUAAUCGGAAUUACUGCGCGUAAAGCGCACGCAGGCGGUCUGUCAAGUCGGAUGUGAAAUCCCCGGGUUCAACCUGGGAACUGCAUUGGAAACUGGCAGUCUAGAGUCUUGUAGAGGGGGGUAGAAUUCCAGGUGUAGCGGUGAAAUGCGUAGAGAUCUGGAGGAAUACCGGUGGCGAAGGCGGCCCCCUGGACAAAGACUGACGAUCAGGUGCGAAAGCGUGGGGAGCAAACAGG